GGCCUCCGUAGCAGCGUGCGCAUGCGCGCCGGGUUCCGCCGCCGGCCUGUGUGGGCCCUGUGGCCGCGGGCGACGGAGCGAGGGGGACGGCGUCCGCGCUGGGCUGGCUUCCCGCCGGCCCGCGGGACGGAAGCUGUCAGGGAAGGACGCGGAGAGCCGCGAUCACCCGCGCUCGGGUUUAGUAGUCGCUGCCUCCCACCUCCGGGAGUCGGGACCCAGAGGGAGACAGUCUGACCCUGCACACCUGUGGAUGGCUGCCAAAAAGAAAAAAAAAAGACAUUAACACAUCCCCUCACCCAGGCUGGCAGUUCCAGGGGAUAUUUGCAAAACGUGGUGUUGUCAGCCAUAAAGUCCCUGCUGAGGUCACAGCUCUGCUGUAAAUGGAGCUCCCAGUCACCCUAUUAAUGUCCAUCUGAGGUCUUCAGGAAACUCCUUUACUAGUCCCUCAAAGCAAGGGACCCUCUCACGACUUUGAAUGAAUGAACCAGCUAUAAACGAGUUUUGGAUGUUGCUUGCUUAAAAGCAAAGAGCCCAAGCCUCGGCCCGCCUCAGUGGGCAUCCCUUCUCCUGCUCUGAUGCGGCGCCCAUCCCGCUGACCAGUGACACGCAGGUGACAGCCCCUCGGCUUUCACACCUGCGUGAGGCUCCCUUACAGACAGGUUUGGCGUCCAGAGGGUCUCAACUUUUCCGCUCGGUUUGGAUCUCAGUUUUUCCAUAUGGCAAGUGAAGUGUUGGACUAUCUGAUGUCUGAGGUCCAUUCCAGCUCUAAUAUCCUAUAACUUGUGAAAGAUUCCCUGUUUUCCACUGCAACUUCUCACUUGGGUAGUAAAUAUAAAUUCUUAAAGCUCUCCUGGAAACUCAGAAGUUAAAAUAACAGAAUAGAUAACCUUAUUAACUGGAGAAUAUUCACUGCAAACAGCCGGCUCACUUGGGAUUUACAAGAGCGUGCUGACUGAUUAACUGACUCUCAAAUACUCGUGAUCUAGGUUCUACUUAUGAAAACAUUCUUUGCACAUAUAUCCAAAUACAUAUGUGCACGUAUACAUCCGUUCACUUCUCUGAGGGAGGGGAGUAAAUCUCUAGGAUAAAUACACACAGACCUUGACUGAUUCAGUCACUAGAACAUACAUCUUACCUCAAAACUUAGCUGCUUAUUCUAAUUUAUUUUUCUUAACCAAAAUUCAGGAGGGAGAAGAGAAGAAGAGCAAAAAAGAGAGCUGUCUGUUUUUACUCCACCAAUAACGUAUGUGAGGAAAUAGUUUAUUUAAAAAAAACAAAACAAAACGAUAACAGAGAUCCAGGAAGUUCUUGAUUCAAGAUUUUCAUUAAAAUAGGUAAGAAGAAAUCAGUGAAAGGAAAGAUGGAAGGCAUCAAAAGGAGAGUACCAGGAACUCAGGGAUUAAACGUAGAAUAUUGAUAACAAUAAAAAUAGAACAUUUACUUUUGUAAUAUACACAGCACUACGCUGUGUCAUCAAACAGCUACCAAAGCACAAAACACUAAGCAAUUUGUCCAAGACUACACAGCUGGAAAGCCAAAAGGCUGGGAUUCAAACCCAUCACUCAAACUCAUCACCUAGGUGUAAUAAUACUGCCAUCACAUCCAACAAAAACUGUCAAUAAUUACUUAAUAUUUUAAUACUAAGACCCAAUUUAAAUGCCCCAGUUGUCCCAGUAAUGCCUUUUAUAGCUGUUUUUUCCCAUAUCAGAUCCAAUCAAAGUCCACACACUGCCUUUGGUUAGAGCCUGUUCUUUUAACUCCUGUUCCUCGAUGAAAAAAAAAAAUCAACAUUUUAAAAUACACUUGGAACUUCACUUUAGUAAGAAAGACAUUUCAGUCUUAUCCAUAAAAUGUAAUUGACAGGAGGUUAUAAUCUAUGUAAAGUAUGACUUUAAAUUUUUGCUAAAAAUUUCAACUAUGUUGUUAAUAAAAUGACUUUUAAAAUUCUAGAGCAGUUUUAGUUUGGAAAACCUCUACACCCCUUUGGCAGGCUGUAAAAAGAACGCUAGAGAGCUUGAGUUGUUCAGGAGUGCAAAUGAUUGAUGAGGUGAGAAGGCACAGGGCCCCGUUUCUCAUUGGAAGAGAAUAUGAAAUUGUCUUCUUAUGGCUUUAUUUAUUUGCAAAAGCAAAGCAGGGGCUGUGAGCAAGAAGAUUAGAAGAACAAACAGGGGAAACGUUCCUCUAAUAAAUGCUGGGAAGAAGCGAUUCUCUUUCUGGAGAAAAAGCUAAUAAAAGAGCUUCUGCUGAGCGUUUUGAUAUCAGCCCAAUCACUCAACCACUGCCCUGCAGGCUGGCAUGAAAUCCCACUGCUGCCAAGAGCAGCAGGGAAAACAAGGCCAGUUGGACAUCUCACUUCAUCUGUUCAGUCCACAGAAGUAUUUCCAAGUCAAAAUCACAGAGCUUUACGCCUCAUGAAACUGAGCGGGACCCUACAGGGCCUUCCUGAGUACAAAAGCCCCUCUGUGUCCCCAGUUUCUUGUUGUAGAAAAAGGCUUUUAGUCUUCCAGGCCUUCCCCAAGUUCCCAAGGGCGGACUCAAGCAGUUGCUAAUGCGGGAAGUGAGGGAACGCAGGAAGAAGGGAAAGCAGUUAAGCAAGAGAAGUAAUGACAGCUUAAACAAUAGUUCAGCGAUCAGACAGAGUCCUAGUUCCUCCUGAAGGGAGAUACAUGUCAAUCUAACACAUAUCUUUGAGUUGUUCUGCAGGAACUAAGGCUCCCACCCAGGCGGAGGAUGGUCACUACAUUCCCACCGCAAGAAGUAGCCUUCAGACUGGCUGGAACCAGAAGGUUGACAUUAAGAUUCCCCAAACAUCACCCUGUUACCUCACCACCUACCGGUCAGAAGAAAGUCCACAAGCUGAUCUCGCACCCUGCAACCCUCACUCCGAAUGUGUCUUUAAAAGCCCCUCCCUGAAAGCCAUCUGGGAGUUCGCGUCUCUUGAGCAUGAGCUGCCCCUUCUCCUUGGUUGGCAGGCGCCCUGCAGUAAACGCUGCACUUCCCUUCCCCACAACCAGUAUCAGGAGACUGGCUUUGCUGUGUGUCGGGUGCACAGACUCAAGUUCUGUUCAGUAACACUCACACUUAAGAUUUUAACUUUUCCCGUAACAGUACACUUUUUUAAACGUUUCUGCUACAAAAAUAGCAAGAUAUAAUAGAAAUAUGUAGUGAUUUGGGGUUUCCAAGUAUUUUCACGUCCCUCAUCCGGUUUAAUUUUCUCAACAACCCAACCAGAUAGGCACUGUCAUUAAACCCAUUUCACAGCCAGGGCAACAAAAGUCCACUGGGAUUGACUGCUGGGGAUCCCUUGGCUAGAAGUCAUUCUUCGGAAUCCUAGCUGGGUGUCCUAGCAGGCAGCACUUUCCUGGACACUGCAAUUCCCUUUUUUCCUCAUUUAGUCAGAGCUGAAUACAAUUAAAGCAAUACUAGAGAAGGCAUGUAAACAUUAAAGCUACAUGAACUUAAUCUUUGAAAAAAGGUUAGACCAUAUAUCAAAGUAUUCAAUUGAAAUACCUGGCUCACAGACACCUGUCUAGUAAAAAAAACAUAAAUUUAGAAAAGCAGGGCUAACUCUCUUCCUUGAAAAUACAUAUAUUUUACAAAUUCUUCCUGUGUAAUAAAACAUUAGGUAAUCAUCAGCAUAUUUCUAAUAUGGAUAAGACUUUAUUCUUAAUUAUAUCAUACAGUUUUAUCCUUAGCUGUACUUAACUAUUAGGAAGGCUCAUACAAAGGAGAAACAUGAGUAAAAACCUAAGGUAAUAUGUGAAGUCAUAGAGAAACUUAACUGCAGGGACUAAGAACACAGCCUCCCAUGACUACUUUCCUCAGAUUUCCCCAGCACAUUAAUCUCAUAAAUACUCUGCUCCACAGUACUAAACAUCUAUCCUAAUUAAUUAUGGUCCUAUGCAAGUACAUAAACUUCAUUUUUGGAAAGUCAAGAGUGAAGCUUCUGUUUCCAAAUUUACCACGUGGCAGACAAUUAUUUUUCUUACCCUACUGCCCUUUAAAAUUACAAGCAAACAGUAUUUGCAAUAAAAUUCAGAAUUUAAAAAAAUUAAUCCUGCUUUUUUUUUUUUUACUGGUAAAAUGAAGCUGCUUUCAUACUGUACCCUAUGGAUAGUUAUUUCUCCUCAGCUGUCAUCACUUUACCUCUUUACUACACUACCCUGUUAAAAAAUACUGCAGCCCUACACUUACCUGGGUUUAAAAAAUCACACAAAGAAAAACUAAAAUGUAUACACCUAAAUAAACUAUAUAAAACGGUUUUAAAGUUAUAUUAAAUACAUGAAAUAAAAAGCAGGCAUCUCAAGAUUACAGGCGAAAAUAAAAUACAGAAAGUGGGACUUCCCUGGAGAUCCAGUGGUUAAGACUAGCGCUUCCAAUGCAGGAGGCGAGUGGUCCCUGGGUGUGGGCGGGGUGGGGUGGGGGGGGACGGGGAUUAGGAUCCCGCCUGCCGAGCGGCGAAGCCAAAAAAUAAAAUAUACGAAGUGUCUUUAGGCUUUUCAUCCCGCCAAUGCCCUUUCUUUCUAAUUGGAAAUGAAGACUUAAUGGAAAGCAUAAUAUUAAAAAGUAUGCCCUUGGUUGGCAGAAUAUUCGUAUGUUAGAUUUGAUUCCGUCCCACGCUUGACGCCCUGAAGCUGCGAAAUCCGAAGGGCGAGGUCGACCCGACGGGCUCAGUGCCCUUGUCGCGGAAAAGGAGCACCUGCGGCUCACCUUCCACCGAGCGAUGCCGGGACGCGCCCUCGCAGCCCGCGCCCGGGGCAGGUCCGCCGCACACCUGGGCACACACCUGCCGAGCAGGUGCAGCGAGCCGGAGCCCCGGCCCCACUCGCCGGAC